UCUCCGUAGGUGAACCUGCGGAGGGAUCAUUACCGAGUGAGGGCCUCCGGGCCCGACCUCCAACCCUUUGUCUACCGACCCUGUUGCCUCGGGGGUGACCCGGCGCCCGUCCUCGGGCGCCCCGGGGCCCCCGGCGGACCCCUCAACGCUGCAUCUGUGCGUCCGAGUCAUAUUUGAAUCAAUCAAAACUUUCAACAACGGAUCUCUUGGUUCUGGCAUCGAUGAAGAACGCAGCGAAAUGCGAUAAGUAAUGUGAAUUGCAGAAUUCAGUGAAUCAUCGAAUCUUUGAACGCACAUUGCGCCCCGUGGUAUUCCGCGGGGCAUGCCUGUUCGAGCGUCAUUUCACCACUCAAGCCUCGCUUGGUAAUGGGCGUCCGCGGCGGGAACGUCGCGCGCCCCAAUGUCUCCGGCUGAGCCGUCCGUCUCUAAGCGUUGUGGUCUAUCUAUCCGCUUCGGAGCGCGGGCCGGUUUGCGCCGUCAAACCCCCCAUCAAAGGUUGACCUCGGAUCAG
rnacentral:rRNA from 1 species